rnacentral:rRNA from 1 species
AUACGGCCCAGACUCCUACGGGAGGCAGCAGUGGGGAAUAUUGCACAAUGGGCGCAAGCCUGAUGCAGCGACGCCGCGUGGGGGAUGACGGCCUUCGGGUUGUAAACUCCUUUCGCUAGGGACGAAGCUUUUUGUGACGGUACCUAGAUAAGAAGCACCGGCUAACUACGUGCCAGCAGCCGCGGUAAUACGUAGGGUGCGAGCGUUGUCCGGAAUUACUGGGCGUAAAGGGCUCGUAGGUGGUUUGUCGCGUCGUCUGUGAAAUUCCGGGGCUUAACUCCGGGCGUGCAGGCGAUACGGGCAUAACUUGAGUACUGUAGGGGUAACUGGAAUUCCUGGUGUAGCGGUGAAAUGCGCAGAUAUCAGGAGGAACACCGAUGGCGAAGGCAGGUUACUGGGCAGUUACUGACGCUGAGGAGCGAAAGCAUGGGUAGCGAACAGGAUUAGAUACCCUGGUAGUCCAUGCCGUAAACGGUGGGCGCUAGGUGUGAGGGUCUUUUCACGACUUUCGUGCCGUAGCUAACGCAUUAAGCGCCCCGCCUGGGGAGUACGGCCGCAAGGCUAAAACUCAAAGGAAUUGACGGGGGCCCGCACAAGCGGCGGAGCAUGUGGAUUAAUUCGAUGCAACGCGAAGAACCUUACCUGGGCUUGACAUACACUGGAUCGGGCUAGAGAUAGUCUUUCCCUUUGUGGCUGGUGUACAGGUGGUGCAUGGUUGUCGUCAGCUCGUGUCGUGAGAUGUUGGGUUAAGUCCCGCAACGAGCGCAACCCUUGUCUUAUGUUGCCAGCAUUUGGUUGGGGACUCAUGAGAGACUGCCGGGGUCAACUCGGAGGAAGGUGGGGAUGACGUCAAAUCAUCAUGCCCCUUAUGUCCAGGGCUUCACACAUGCUACAAUGGUCGGUACAACGCGCAGCGACACUGUGAGGUGGAGCGAAUCGCUGAAAGCCGGCCUUAGUUCGGAUUGGGGUCUGCAACUCGACCCCAUGAAGUCGGAGUCGCUAGUAAUCGCAGAUCAGCAAUGCUGCGGUGAAUACGUUCCCGGGCCUUGUACACACCGCCCGUCACGUCAUGAAAGUUGGUAACACCCGAAGCCGGUGGCCCAAACUUGUUAGGGAGCCGUCGAAGGUGGGAUCGGCGAUUGGGACGAAGUCGUAACAAGGUACCCGUACCGGAAGGUGCGGGUG